GUCAGGAUGGCCGAGUGGUCUAAGGCGCCAGACUCAAGAACCAACAGUUCUUCGCUGCAAUGCGGUGUUGAGUAUUCUGGUCUCCGAAUGGAGGCGUGGGUUCGAAUCCCACUUCUGACA
rfam:Ciona savignyi cont_15350, whole genome shotgun sequence.